rnacentral:tmRNA from 1 species
GGGGCUGACUGGUUUUGACAGCGGGUAGAAGAGGUAUGUAAGCAUGUAGGGCCUUGAUCGCACAGCCCGUAAAACUCGGCGUUCACAAUUCAAUUGGCGAAAAUAACUACGCUCUUGCUGCGUAACCGAAAUUAAGUAGGUUAUACUUUAUUCCGAUACCAGGUAUUGGAACGAGACAUCGCCCGGGUGCUACUUCCCUGAAGCGGCCCGAUCAGGCGGUGCAAAAAAAUCGGGGAUAGUGGAAGUGGUGCUUCGGAACUUCUGCAAAAUUAAGAAGCUAAGGUAAAAGUCGGUGGCCCUGAUCCAGCUUUUAUUCGAAAAUCAAGUCUGGGGAUAAACAUGUAGAAGGCAUAUUGCUUCCUCGUUUGGACGCGGGUUCGAUUCCCGCCAGCUCCACUU